AUUGAACGCUGGCGGCAGGCCUAACACAUGCAAGUCGAGCGGAUGAAGCGAGCUUGCUCCUGGAUUCAGCGGCGGACGGGUGAGUAACGCCUAGGAACCUGCCUGGUAGUGGGGGAUAACGUCCGGAAACGGGCGCUAAUACCGCAUACGUCCUGAGGGAGACAGUGGGGGAUCUUCGGACCUCACGCUAUCAGAUGAGCCUAGGUCGGAUUAGCUAGUUGGUGGGGUAAAGGCCUACCAAGGCGACGAUCCGUAACUGGUCUGAGAGGAUGAUCAGUCACACUGGAACUGAGACACGGUCCAGACUCCUACGGGAGGCAGCAGUGGGGAAUAUUGGACAAUGGGCGAAAGCCUGAUCCAGCCAUGCCGCGUGUGUGAAGAAGGUCUUCGGAUUGUAAAGCACUUUAAGUUGGGAGGAAGGGCAGUAAGUUAAUACCUUGCUGUUUUGACGUUACCAACAGAAUAAGCACCGGCUAACUUCGUG
rnacentral:rRNA from 1 species